rnacentral:rRNA from 1 species
GACGGAGGGUGCAAGCGUUGUUCGGAAUCACUGGGCGUAAAGCGCGUGUAGGAGGGUUGAUAAGUCGAAUGUGAAAGCCCGAGGCUCAACCUCGGAAGUGCAUUCGAAACUGUCAGGCUUGAGCACGGGAGUGGGAAGUGGAAUUCCUGGUGUAGAGGUGAAAUUCGUAGAUAUCAGGAGGAACACCGGUGGCGAAGGCGGCUUCCUGGACCGAUACUGACGCUGAGACGCGAAAGCGUAGGGAGCGAACAGG